rnacentral:lncRNA from 1 species
AUAGUGUGAACCACAUUUAAGUACCAAAAGUCCAGGUACGAGCCUAGGGGACAGAUCCAACAUUUGUUAUUUCUCAAAAUAAGAGGUAGGAGAAAACAACAUACACAAAGUAGUGAUGGCUCAAUACAAAACGUCAAGAUUCAUUACAACGCUUGGUGCAUCUCAUAGAAAAUGUAGCAGGAAGUGGGAUUACACGUGAUGAAAGGUUUGCUUCACCUGUUCAAAGACAGAUAUACCAAAAACAAUUCAUAGCACGCACCAGCAAGUCCUUCCCCUCAUGGUCUUGGAACAAGCCAAGCACCGCAAGAGCACACCCCUCUGGUUCCUCUUCUUGUCCGUCAACCCCAUCUCGCUCAGUCAAACCUCUAUGUAGUUCUCUCUAUCAUUCAAGGAGUCAGGUUAUCAAAUGUAUGAUAUAGUUAUCAGGAAGUUAUUCUAAUACUCUAGUAACAUAAUAUAAUAACUAAUAUAUUAACAACACUAUUGCUUGAAGGGUCCAAUUAGAAGCUCCUACUUAUUUUAGUCUGCCAAGCAAUCUGUGUGUGUUGCAAUCUUCAAGCAAGAUGGUUGUGCAUUUUUUUGUUCAGUCUUAUAUAAAGAAGGCACACAUCCUCAAAUCCGGCGAAUACCGAAAGAUGGAUAAACUCUCAGCAUUUAACAAUAGCAUGAUGAGCCAAUCAAGAAGGCAAAAAGGAAAUGAACAAAACAAUUGCAACUGAAGAAAUCAAGAUGAUCCCUGCAAAUAACAUAUCUCAAGAACCUAAUAAAAAUGAAACUGCGGUCCAUAGGGCAGGUUAUUCUUUCCAAGUGAAGCUUUCCAACACACUCAGAUAAUUCAUGAAGCCAGGACACUAUUUUUACAAAUUAGAUAAGCAUCUAUUAAACGGAACGAAGCAGGCCAAAGCAAAACAUUAAUACGAAAAUCUCAAACGACCAUAUCCAUCACUUUGCCCAGAGAAAUAAUGGGAAGAUGGGUGAUUGGAGUUGUUGGUGAAGCUCACCUUGGUCUGGAUAAAUGUGAUAGGAACCUAUGUGUUCACGGAGAGCUGACCAAUAGGGUUAGGUUGCGUCAUUAGCCAUGCUUGUCGCUGUUCAACGUGCGCUGCUUGUCAAGCCGAUUCCAUGGUGCAACAGAGGAGCCACAAGAUCCAACAAUAUGUACUUGGCAAGAAUGCUAAAAAGACAAAAAGACAACACAUUCACCAAUGGGGAAAGUGGCAGCAACAAGGACGUGCACACAAGGAUACUGCGGAUUCCUCUUACCUUCCCAUGGCUGAAUCCUUUGUCUCGCCACUGAGGGCUGCAGGCACGAGCAUGCUUGAGUGAUUUCUUGUAGUAACCAGGAUACAUAUUCCACCAAAUCACCCUUUGUGGUUUGCCUAUUGUUUUGAUAUGUUCUACUACCUCCGUCCCAAAAUAUAAGAGUGUUUUUGACACUACACUAGUGUCAAAAACGCUCUUAUAUUAUGGGACGGAGGGAGUACAUCAUGAUCAAACAAUUAACAAUGCCUAAUAAGCAGAAUGUAAUCCUAAGAAUAUGCCUUAAAAAAUUAGACCAGGUACAAAAAACUACAAAUAGCACAUGCACAAUCUUUUUAUGUAUAUUAGAAAAUUGUUCAUGUCAUAUAUCUGCAUGGUGAAAUAUUAAGCAAUUGUUAACUCAAAAUUAGCAUCAUAAAGUAUAUGAAGUUAUGGGGAAGUGUUGAAUACCUUAGAUGCAUUGAGAAUUACAUCAAUCAAACUUUUGGCACAGAAAUCUAGUGGUUGGAGGUGCAUUCAGCCAUGCUUCUCAUCAAGAUCUGAUCACUUGAAUCCAAAGCAAGAUGAGCACUUUGUAUAGUUAAUCAAAAAGCUAAAUACGCGAAAUGUAUCGAGAAUUAAUUGGUCUACUGCAUAAAUCAAACUUUUGACCCAAAAAAUAAAACCAUAUAACUUUGUAUUAAUCUUCAGUUUCUAAAAAAUGAACACACUCCAUGUAUGCAUUACUCUACCAAGGAUGCACAUACAAUCUGCAUUUCGGCAGCAUCUUGGGAACUAAGAAGUGACGAAUUGGAGAUGUAUGAAACAAAAAUAUGGCAAAUACCACGGGAAACAAUUGAUAUAGUCCUCACAUCUCUGAUCAAGCCAUUGUAGCCAAAAAAACAUGCAGGUUGGAAACACAGAAAAUAGAUCUUGCAUGUUUGUCAACAAACGCCUAUCAAAAUUCCAAGAUCACAUAUAUGACAUAUCUACCAGACCCUGAAUCAAAGUAAAAUUCCUUCCUUAUUACAUUAGCCAUUAUCCAAUGGUGCAGUGGGCAGUUAUGAACCACAAGCACAUUGCAUACCAAACAAGUAAGCCAAACCGUGGACAAUAAGCACAUAAAUUCAUUUUUACAUAAUAAACGUUACAUCUUAUCAUUUUCUAUUUGCAAACAAAUAUGUUGUUAUUAAUUAGUCAGUUUGUACUUGUCUAAAAAUUAACGAAACAUGUUAAUAUGCACAGAAAAUGAUAUUUCUUAACAAGGCCUCCUAGAAACGUGUGCUAUAUAACCGUUGUGUCUGCGUGGAGCAUACCUCAGUUCAGUCCUACAGCCCUUUGAUGUAGUCUACAACAAUAUCCAGCAUGUCUGAACUAUUUGUUUGCUGCGUCUUCAAGAAGAAACUUAACAUGUUUCCAGCAAUUGCAUUGCACGA